GGUUCCGUGGUGUAACAGUUAGCACUCUGGACUUUGAAUCCUUCGAUCCGAGUUUAAAUCUUGGUGGAACCU